rnacentral:rRNA from 1 species
CCAGCAGCUGCGGUAAUUCCAGCUCCAAUAGCGUAUAUUUAAGUUGUUGCAGUUAAAAAGCUCGUAGUUGGAUUUCGGGUGGGUGUUAGCGGUCCGGCUCUGCUGUGUACUGCUAGUGCCUAUCUUUCUGUCGGGGACGGGCUCUUGGGCUUCAUUGUCCGGGACUCGGAGUCGACGUGGUUACUUUGAGUAAAUUAGAGUGUUCAAAGCAAGCGUUCGCUGUGAAUACAUUAGCAUGGAAUAACACGAUAGGACUCUGGCUUAUCUUGUUGGUCUGUAAGACCGGAGUAAUGAUUAAGAGGGACAGUCGGGGGCAUUCGUAUUUCAUUGUCAGAGGUGAAAUUCUUGGA